UGGGGAAUAUUGCACAAUGGGCGCAAGCCUGAUGCAGCCAUGCCGCGUGUAUGAAGAAGGCCUUCGGGUUGUAAAGUACUUUCAGCGGGGAGGAAGGUGUUGAGGCUAAUAACCUCAGCAAUUGACGUUACCCGCAGAAGAAGCACCGGCUAACUCCGUGCCAGCAGCCGCGGUAAUACGGAGGAUGCAAGCGUUAAUCGGAAUUACUGGGCGUAAAGCGCACGCAGGCGGUCUGUCAAGUCGGAUGUGAAAUCCCCGGGCUCAACCUGGGAACUGCAUUCGAAACUGGCAGGCUAGAGUCUUGUAGAGGGGGGUAGAAUUCCAGGUGUAGCGGUGAAAUGCGUAGAGAUCUGGAGGAAUACCGGUGGCGAAGGCGGCCCCCUGGACAAAGACUGACGCUCAGGUGCGAAAGCGUGGGGAGCAAACA
rnacentral:rRNA from 1 species